rnacentral:rRNA from 1 species
ACGCUCGACACCUACGGGAGCAGCAGUGAGGGAUAUUGGUCAAUGGGGGAAACCCUGAACCAGCAACGCCGCGUGAGGGAUGACGGUCUUCGGAUUGUAAACCUCUGUCCUCUGUGAAGAUAAUGACGGUAGCAGAGGAGGAAGCUCCGGCUAACUACGCGCCAGCAGCCGUGGUAAUCUGAGCGGGCUGGCAAGGC